UACGGGGGGGGGCAAGCGUUGUUCGGAAUUACUGGGCGUAAAGGCGCGUAGGCGGCCAUCUAAGUCAGACGUGAAAUCCCUCGGCUCAACCGAGGAACUGCGUCUGAUACUGGGAAGGCUUGAAUCCGGGAGAGGGAUGUGGAAUUCCAGGUGUAGCGGUGAAAUGCGUAGAUAUCUGGAGGAACACCGGUGGCGAAGGCGGCAUCCUGGACCGGUAUUGACGCGUGAGGCGCGAAAGCUAGGGGAGCAAACGGGG
rnacentral:rRNA from 1 species